rnacentral:rRNA from 1 species
UACGAAGGAUUCGAGCGUUAUCCGGAUUUAUUGGGUUUAAAGGGUGCGUAGGCGGACUGAUAAGUCAGUGGUGAAAGCCUGUUGCUUAACAACAGAACUGCCAUUGAUACUGCCAGUCUUGAGUACAGUUGAGGUAGGCGGAAUGUGUCAUGUAGUGGUGAAAUACUUAGAUAUGACUCAGAACACCGAUUGCGAAGGCAGCUUGCUAAACUGUAACUGACGCUGAGGCACGAAAGCAUGGGGAGCAAACAGG